UACGUAGGGUGCAAGCGUUGUCCGGAAUUAUUGGGCGUAAAGAGCUCGUAGGCGGUCUGUCGCGUCGGCUGUGAAAACCUGGGGCUUAACUCCGGGCCUGCAGCCGAUACGGGCAGACUAGAGUUCGGCAGGGGAGACUGGAAUUCCUGGUGUAGCGGUGAAAUGCGCAGAUAUCAGGAGGAACACCGGUGGCGAAGGCGGGUCGCUGGGACGGUACUGACGCUGAGGUGCGAAAGCGUGGGGAGCGAACAGG
rnacentral:rRNA from 1 species